AGAUCCUACAAAUAAUCUAGCUAUAUUGAUCCACCAAGCCCACAGGAGAGCUCCAUCAUCCUACAAAUAGUCUAGCUAUAUUAAUCCACCUGAGCCCCCCAGGAGAGCUUCGUCAACAAUUCUCCGAUAUAAAUCAUGGUGCAUGUUAUCAAAGGCGUGGCAAGUAUUUACUUGGCUUCAUUAAAUAGUUCAGAAGUGACCACCUUAAAAACCAAGUUGGAUGAAUUCAAUACAUUUUUGAAAGAUGCUGGACGUCAACUUGUGGUAGUUGAAUUUUCAGCAAACUGGUGUGGUUUCUGCAAAGAGAAGUGUUCUGUUUUUCAUGACAUGCCUCUACAAUACCAAAACGUAAGGUUUGCUAUCGUGGAUGUGGACGAUUCUCCGGAGUUGGCUGAUGCUUGUCACAUUAAAGCAGUGCCUACAUUUCAGAUAUUCAAGAAAAUCCAGAAGGAAACUGUAUUCUCAAGAAUCAAAGCAACACUUUGCUGUAAUACAAGUGAAUUCAUGGCUGAGCAGAUUUUUGAAUUUUAUGGAAUGAAUGUUAAAAGAUUGGAAGAGAAGAUUCAACAGUUCAUGUGAUAUCUGAGUGAGGCUCAGACACAGACUGGGCCAGACAAGAUGUCCAGGCCUGGAUGGAAGCUUGGAGCUUUCUACUCUAGAGAGCCGGGCUGCAGAAACAACAACAAUAAAGCAGGGAACUGUGAACCAGAACUGGCACUAGUAACGAUAAAGGAGAUCCAAGGACCUUGCUCCAGAGCUGACACAAGUCCCUGGCCCUCUGGGAAGAACCGUGAAAGCAUCUAUAAAGAAGAGGAACAAGGUGAUUGACUUCCAUGCCCAGAUGUGCAGAUGUCACAUGGAGUUCCCCGUGCAGCCCCAGGCAUUUUGUAUUAUCCACCUGCUGGAGCAAGCAGAUGUGCCCUUUUCUUCAUUGUUAUUUCCAUCCUGCUUUCCAUUUUAACCAGAAAACAGUGCAUACCUCAGAGCCCAAGGGCAUUCCCUGCAAACUCCAGGCUUCUUUAUCUCUCUCUCUCUCAGCAGCAAGGUUACCCUAUGACUUCCCCUGCCUAAAGGUGGA